rnacentral:rRNA from 1 species
UACGUAGGUGGCAAGCGUUAUCCGGAAUUAUUGGGCGUAAAGAGCGCGCAGGUGGUUGAUUAAGUCUGAUGUGAAAGCCCACGGCUUAACCGUUGAGGGUCAUUGGAAACUGGUCGACUUGAGUGCAGAAGAGGGAAGUGGAAUUCCUAGUGUAGCGGUGAAAUGCGUAGAUAUUAGGAGGAACACCAGUUGCGAAGGCGGCUCUCUGGACUGUAACCGACACUGAGGCACGAAAGCGUGGGGAGCAAACAGGAUUAGAUACCCCCGUAGUCCCU